rnacentral:tRNA from 1 species
GGCCCGGUCGUCUAGCGGUUUGCAGGAUUCGUGACUUUCAAUCACGAGAGCGGAGUUCGAGUCUCCGUCGGGCCUCCACCCC